GUAGGUGGCAAGCGUUGUCCGGAAUUAUUGGGCGUAAAGCGCGCGCAGGCGGUUCUUUAAGUCUGAUGUGAAAGCCCACGGGCCCAACCGUGGAGGGUCAUUGGAAACUGGAGAACUUGAGUACAGAAGAGGAAAGCGGAAUUCCACGUGUAGCGGUGAAAUGCGUAGAGAUGUGGAGGAACACCAGUGGCGAAGGCGGCUUUCUGGUCUGUAACUGACGCUGAGGCGCGAAAGCGUGGGGAGCAAACAGGAUUAGAUACCCUGGUAGUCCGCGCCGUAAACGAUGAGUGCUAAGUGUUAGGGGGUUUCCGCCCCUUAGUGCUGCAGCUAACGCAUUAAGCACUCCGCCUGGGGAGUACGGCCGCAAAGGCUG
rnacentral:rRNA from 1 species